UCCACCUCUCUCUCUCCACCUCUCUCCCCCCCCUCUCUCUCCCCACUGUGCUAGGAGGUUGUGAGUCCCUGGGGAUUAUGUUGAGGAACUGAUCACUGAGAGGGGGAAGGGAGACAUCACACAGAAGGGAUAUGAGAAGAAACGAGCAAAACUUCUGGCACCCUACAUCCCCCAGGCAACGGGGAUGGCGGUGGGAGAGACCCCGAUGUCCGCCCAGCGGCAGCAGGAGCCUCCUGGUCCAGUGGCUGUGUCCCAGAGACAUCACCGAGGCCGGAGCGGGGGGGCCAGAGAUGAGCGAUACCGUU